UGAUGGAAAUUUAAACCCUUUUUAAAGUAUCAAUUGGAGGGCAAGUCUGGUGCCAGCAGCCGCGGUAAUUCCAGCUCCAAUAGCGUAUAUUAAAAUUGUUGCAGUUAAAAAGCUCGUAGUUGAAGUUCUGCUAAAAGUAACCGGUCUGCUUUUAAUAAAAGUGGUAUCUUGGUGUGUAUUUAGCAAUGAUGUCCUUUGAAGUGUUUUUUACUUUAUUGUAAUAAAGCAUAUUCAGGACUUUUACUUUGAGAAAAUUAGAGUGUUUCUAGCAGGCCGACGCUUUGAAUACUGCAGCAUGGAAUAAUAAGAUAGGAUUUUAGUUCUACAUUAUUGGUUUUAAGAGCUAAAUUAAUGAUUGAUAGGGACAGUUGGGGGCAUUUGUAUUUAACUGUCAGAGGUGAAAUUCUUAGAUUUGUUAAAGACAAACUACUGCGAAAGCAUUUGCCAAAGAUGUUUUCAUUAAUCAAGAACGAAAGUUAGGGGAUCGAAGACGAUCAGAUACCGUCGUAGUCUUAACUAUAAACUAUGCCGACUAGAGAUUGGAGGUCGUCUUUAUAAACGACUCCUUCAGCACCUU
rnacentral:rRNA from 1 species